rnacentral:rRNA from 1 species
UCCGUAGGUGAACCUGCGGAAGAAUCAUUAUUGAAGAUGAAUGGUAGCAUUGAUCAACUGUUGCUGACCCGUUAAAAGGUAUGUGCACGUUCAAAGUGUUGCGUUCUAUUCUUCCACCUGUGCACCUUUGUAGACUUGGUUAAUUUUCGCAAAGGGUUGCUUUCGAGCACUGUUUGUGUACCAAGUCUAUGUCUAUAUAAUCUCUUGUAUGUGUAGAAUGUCUUGUUUAUGGGAUGCAAGUCCUUUAAAUGUUAUACAACUUUCAACAACGGAUCUCUUGGCUCUCGCAUCGAUGAAGAACGCAGCGAAAUGCGAUAACUAAUGUGAAUUGCAGAAUUCAGUGAAUCAUCGAGUCUUUGAACGCACCUUGCGCCCUUUGGUAUUCCRAAGGGCAUGCCUGUUUGAGUGUCAUUAAAUUCUCAACCUCGCCUUCUUUUAGUAGGAGUGCGGCGGAUUGGAUGUGGGGGUUUGCUGGUCUCUAACGAGAUCAGCUCCUCUGAAAUGCAUUAGCAGAAACCGUUUGACUUUGGCUGCUAGGCUGUGAUAAUAUCUACGCCUUGGUAGUUCAGUCGGAAUACGAGUCUGGCUUGGUAUCGGUCUGGAUGGGUGCUUAACGGCUCCAUCUGCUUUCUCCCUCUGGGGAGAUACUUGUCCGAUUCUAUAGUUGCUUAGCGCGAGCUUAGCUUUGGUUGACUUUGUAGAAGGAUUCAGCUUCUAACGGUCCAUUGACUUGGACAAUUUAUUGACUAUUUGACCUCAAAUCAGGUAGGACUACCCGCUGAACUUAAGCAUAUCAAUAAGCGGAGGA